rnacentral:ribozyme from 1 species
GUCCUGUACCUGAGCCAACGAGUAACUCCAACGAAAAGCCCUGUACCUAAGCCAACGCGCAAACCCAUUCCUGCUCCCACCAAGCACCCUG